CAAGAUCGGUUUGCAUACACAACUUGGAACUUAUUUUCACAUACAAUAAUGUCACUACCAAAGGGUGUAACUGUGUAUAAUGGCAGUGCUCAAAACGUCUACGUCAAAGUUGAGAGUGAUUGCUUGAGGGUUUCAAAUUCGAAAUUUGGAAUAGGAGCAGAUGUUGCUGGAAUUGCUGGGAUAGAUGCCACAGUUGGAAAAAGUCAAUCGUUUGAUGCUAAGCCAGAAGCAGGUUAUACUCUUGUGAAAAGAUUCGACGAUAGUUCCUUUUUGCCUCCAGAAGGGAAAAAAACUGCGUACGUUUCAAUUAAAAACGCAGAGGUGACUGAUGAAACCGAAUAUAAUCAUUUAUGUGAUGCGCAUCCAGUUGCAUCUAAUCGAAGCGGAGUAAUCAUUACGAGAGAAUUUUAUUUGAAAAAUGCAAAGAAAUCAUGGAUUGAUACGAAUGGAGUGUCACAUAAGCCGGGAAACACAUCAGAGCGUGAUACUGUUAAACCGUCAGGAUUAAAUCACCUUAGAAAAAAGAAGAACUAGUUCUUUACAUGCUUAAAUGUAAACACAAGGCUAUUCAAAACGAGCUUUUCUUUUUUUAUUGCUGUGACUAUCGGCAAAGAAUAAAAACAAAUUAAUAUAUAUUUAGCAUUUUUAUGGUGAAUUGUAAAAUGUAAUCAAACUUUGUAGAAUAAAUUUGAAAUGUUUUUCUUUCCUUCUUUC